rnacentral:lncRNA from 1 species
GGCUGGAUAGCUUGCAGCAUUCUGAGAUUAGUUGGGUUGCUAGGUGUGAUAAUGCUUUAGCUGAUAGUCUUGCUAAGCAUGCGCUUUUGUGUCGUUUUUCCCCUUCUUCUUUUGAUGUUUUCCCUAUUGAAUUCAACUUUGGUUCGUUGGUUUAAUGAAAGUUUUCUUAUUUUUCCUCANAAAAAAAAAAGUCUAAGAACAAGUAAUUAUCUUCCUACUUCUUUUGGGGCGGUCAAAACUCAAAACUAAUUAAUUAGAUGUAGCUAGCUGGCUAAUUAAGUAAGCCCUCUUUGAAAGUUAUUCGUUGCUAAUUAAUUAGCACUCUUAUCUUAGUAUACCAAGUGCAAAUAUGCAAACUUUUCCAGUAAAUCUUACUAUAUCAAUAAGAUGUAUAAUUAAGGACGUAACUAAUGAAAUUAGUUUGAAUUUUUGAAGGUAUUAAGUUUAAAAUCAAUUAUCGGAUGUUAUUGUAUACAUACAGUGAUUUGAAUAUUUAGGUAUAUGAUGAGAACAUCACAAUAUUUACUUCUAAAAAAAGCUAAUAUGUGUACUAAUAUAGUGUACAAUUCAGUAUCUUUAAAUAUCAUUCUGCCAGAAAAGAACAAAAAAAAAACCAAACAAUUAAUUAUUCCAAUAAACUCUGUAUACAUGUAUGCAGUAUGCAUAUCAUGAAAUGAAACCUUAACAUCAAACCUCACAACCAAAUGAAAAUCUUGCAAAAAAAUUGAGAAGCAAAUAUAUAUAUAUAAGCAACUAUUGAAAUAAAUUAAAAUCCAUCAUUAUAUAUAUAUUUAUAAAUUCCACACAUAUAUAUAGAAAAAUGAUGGAUACCUGAAGGUGGAGGUCGAUGAAUGUGAGGAGCUAUAACAUUAUGAUCACGUUCAACACCAUUAUUUUUUGGGCCGUGAAUAUGUUCUUGAUGAGAGCCUUUUCUAAAAUUACGAGUUGCCAAAACGCACAGCCUAGUUUUAUCAAUGCAAUUGCCCAUUAAUUAAUAUAUAAAUAUGAGGCCAAACGCCUCUCGACGAGAACAAAAUUAUUUAUUGAUCAAUUUGUGAUCAUAAUUUUGUCGUCGUGAUUUCUACCAUUUCGUCUCCUCCUUCUCUUUGAUCUGUGUAAUUUGAGAGAUAGAAUGGGUAUCAGACCAAGCUAGGAGAAGGAGCAUGAUAGAGAACGAAUUUUGUGCAGGCCACAAAAUUCGUCUUACUAAUUCACAUGCUUUUUCAU